rnacentral:rRNA from 1 species
CUAGCGACUUCAGAGUUUGUAUCCUGGCUCAGGAUGAACGCUGGCGGCGUGCUUAACACAUAGCAAGUCGAACGGACUUAGGUUGAAGCCUAGCGAUUCCUAAGUUAGUGGCGGACGGGUGAGUAACGCGUGGGUAACCUGCCUCACACUGGGGGAUAACAGUUAGAAAUAGCUGCUAAUACCGCAUAAGCGCACGGGAUCGCAUGAUCUUGUGUGAAAAACUCCGGUGGUGUGAGAUGGACCCGCGUCUGAUUAGCUAGUUGGUGGGGUAACGGCUCACCAAGGCGACGAUCAGUAGCCGGCCUGAGAGGGUGAACGGCCACAUUGGGACUGAGACACGGCCCAA